rnacentral:rRNA from 1 species
AUGAACGCUGACAGAAUGCUUAACCCAUGCAAGUCUUUGGUGAAGCUGUGCUUGCACCGCCUAGCCAAGGCGGACGGGUGAGUAACGCGUAAGGAACUUGCCCUGCAGUCAGGGAUAACAGACGGAAACGACUGAUAAGACCUGGUAAAGUCAGGCGGACUCAUGUCCAGCCUGAUGAAAAGAGAUGCUGCAGGAGAGCCUUGCGUCCUAUUAGCUUGUUGGUGGGGUAACGGCCCACCAAGGCAAUGAUAGGUAGCCGGCCUGAGAGGGUGGACGGCCACAAGGGGACUGAGAUACGGCCCUUACUCCUACGGGAGGCAGCAGUGGGGAAUAUUGGACAAUGGGGGCAACCCUGAUCCAGCAAUUCUGUGUGCACGAUGAAGGUUUUCGGAUUGUAAAGUGCUUUCAGCAGGGAAGAAAAAAAUGACGGUACCUGCAGAAGAAGCGACGGCUAAAUACGUG